UACAUGUGAGUUUAAUUGCAAUUCUAGAAAAAAAAAUUAGCUACUUAUAAUUGCAAAGAUAAAUAAAAAUAUAUGAAGUUCGACCAUUGAGAGUAACAAGGAAAACAAAGCUAAGGAAGAAGACAAAACAAAUAUUUGUAGCCUUGCUCUCCACGCUUCACUAAUAACUCUGACCUAAAGUUCCCUAAACUAAACAUAGUUUAGCCCAAUGACUCAACUUAUGGGCUAAGAAGUGUUACGAGGCCAAAAUAUCAAAUAUCACCCUUCAAAUUGCCAUUCUUGUAACAUUACAUUUAAUCAUCUUCCAACAUGAUUUUCUCUAUCUUCUAGGCAGAACUUGGCAAAGUAAUCUUCAUGAAAUUUGUAGCUUUAUCUCUCAGCUUUCCAAUAGUUUAAGACUUGCAUCAUUUGAACCUUUGGGUUGAGAGUUAUGGCCUAAAAACUGAAGCAUAGAAGAGCAGGAUUCUGAGUCCUUCAAACACAUUUCUUUUCAAAAUUAAGCCUUAUUCUUUUAAAUCCUACAAAAGCAUAAAAACUAAUAAAUAAUAGCCAAAUUAAAAUAAAUAAACAUAAAGUUAAAACAACUCAAUAAAAACAAACUAAUUAGAAAAACAACUAAAAAAUAACUAAAUUCUAAUUAAAAAUUAAGGAGUUAACUAUCAUUUAAGAACAAAAUGAGACUAAAAUAAUUCUAUAAAAUAUGAUUAUCAAUUAUCAACUUUUAAAGAUCAAUCCAAGGCUUAAUAUACCAAAUGAUAGAUAUAAGUAAAAACUCCCAUUUUGUAAAAGUAAAUAAGUAUAAAAUCAAUUUUAAGGGACAAAAUCAUUUUAAGCCCAUUGAAUUAAUUGGUAAAACUCUAAUAAAAGCUCCCCAUUUUGAAACCACUUGAAGCAUACCAAGCAUAUCAAUUUGCAAAGCUCAAACAUAUUUAAGAGAGAUAUGAUUCAUUUAAAGCUUAAGUGAGAGAAUGUAACAUCAAGUUUAAUGUAACUUAAAGCUAGAUGCCAAUUGAGAAAGCUUUAGGUUUGAUACAAAUUAUGCAAUUCAUCAUUCAAGCAUAAGCGAGAAGCAAUAUAGAGCACAAUAUUAAUUUGGUUUGAAAAGGAUAUUAUCAAUAAUGGAGAACAACAAAUGUUGAAAUUUCACCAUAACUUCUUGUUGAAGAUCUCAAGUGCUCAUAAUACCAAAUUGAUAGAUGUUGAUGAUAAACUCCCCCUUUCGUCAACAUAAGAACGUAAUGUCUAUGCAAGACUAAUUAUUAAGAAAGAAAUCAUAAACUUAGAAUAAAUAAGUAUUUAAGUAGAAAUUCAAUAUAUUCAUCUAUUACUCAAGUGUCCAUGGAAUUAGAUACGUAUGAGCAUUAAAAGGAUAUUCAACAUAUAAAUCAUUUAUUCAUAUUUUCAAGAUAUAUGUGCAGGGUAGUUUCUAGGUAUGUUCAAGGUAUCAAUAGUUAUCAAGCAUCAUUCCUAAUCAUUUUCAAGCGUCAAUGAGCAAUCUUCAAUUUUCAUUAAGCAUAAUCAUUAAGUAUCAUCAAGCAUUGUCAACCAAGAAAUGUUAAUGAUUUCAAAAGAAUUCUCCAAUUCAUUUAAAAAGAAUAAUAAUUCAAGGAGAAAUAUUCACAAUAAGACCAUAUCAUUAAAUAUCAAUUGAAUAUCAUUAAGCACUCUUAAUCAUUAACUAUUCAUUUAUCAAGCAUUAUACCAAAUUAUUGUCAAGCAAGCAUUUCAAGAAAUAUUUUCCAAAUUGUAUAAGAAACUAUCAAUUCAAGGAGAAUUUUCACAUCAAGAAAAUGUCAUUAUCUGUCAUGACCCGGUACUCCCCACGAGCCCGUGACAACCGCUGCGGUAUCUCGAUCGACACUCAUUACUCGGAAUGUCAACCGGAACCCUGCAAGGCUUUAAUAUCAGUUUCUCAUUUCCCCUGUAAGUAACUAUUACCAAAUAUCAUGAUUUAAAAGAUUUUAAGCUAUUUCCAACUUAAAUCAAUAAAAAAAAUAAUUUCUGUCUCACAGGGGCAUUUUGGUCAUUUUUCCUACUAAAAUCUCAAAACUAGCUAAAAAUGUAGUAUGCAAGUGGAAAACACAUGUUUCAUAAUCAAAAAUAAGUUUAGAUAUCUAAAACAUUCAUUUAAAGUGAAAUUAUAACUAUUUGAAUAUAAUAAAAAUAUUCAAUAAAAUAUUCUAUUUUCUUAUAAAACAAUAAUUAUAGAAUUACCGGUAAAUAAUUUUUAUAGUGUAAAAGCUAAAUAAAUUCAUGCAUAUUGUAAUACAGAUAACCAAAGUAUAAAAUUUAAUUUACAGUGACACAUGGGCCCACGAACGAUCAAAACUAUCAAAAGCGGUAAACCUACAGUUUUUGAGGAUGCAAGUCCAAUUGUAGCCCUCAACAAAGUGAGCUAUCUACCGACUAUCCUGAGCCUGAAAUGGGUGAAAAGGAGGGUGGUGAGAUUAUAUAAUCUUAGUGAGUAAACAAAUACCAUCUAAAAUAUCUAAAGCUGAGUAAAUGGAGACAAAUAAAAUAGAUUAGCAUAAAAAUGAUUCUCAGCAUUUCGAACUCAUUUUAAUAAGAUAAAAUAGAUUCAUUCCACCAAAAUAAACAAUGAGGCUUAUGAUUUCCUGAAAAGUUUGGCUCAUGCUAAAAUCAUUCUCAUACUCAGUUAUCAGGGAUACCUUGGUCAAGGGCUAUCUUAACCGAGUCUGCCAAGGCUGUUAAAAGUCAUGUACGCAUAAAUCAUGUUUUUAUUUUGAAAACAUAGCCGUUCUUUGGCGUUGGCUGAGUUCACCCUCAUGUGGUGGUUUGGAGUGAAGUGAACUCUAAAGUUUGAACCUCAGGAGUUAUCCAACCGUGCCUCUCAUACUGAGGUAUGAAUAUAAUAGGGUUAUCGUGCCCCUCUAAUAGGCUGGUCCAUGGAACCUGUCCACUGCAGCAACCAAUUAUAACGCACCAAUUCAAUAAAAUUCAACAGCAUGACAUGACAAUUAUUUUAUUUUACAGCCUCUCAAGGCCAAUCAACAGUUCAUACAUUUUCAGCACAUUUACCAAUUCAACCAUUCAUGCCAGUAUUAUCAUAAGCCAUUCAAUUCAAACCAUGAUUUAUAACACAACAAUUAGUCUCCAAUUACUCCAUUUUCAAAACCAUCUUUCAAUUUCAAGACAAUUUUAUAAAAUCAUUUCAUUUAAUCACAUUUUGCUUAUAAAACAUAAGAUUUACUAUUUAAACUUAUUUUUCAUAAAAUCACAAAAUCGAAUAAAACCACUUUAGAUAAUUAAGAUGAUAAUAAGGUUACUCACUGUAUCAGGAGUUUGAAUUUUGGAGUACUCUGACUAUUGAUCCUUGGGUGCAAUUUCUUUGUCCUUUUUCGGAGGAUUCACCACCUAGACAUAAUGCAAAAUCAAGCAAUAUACCACAUUGGUGCUAAACCGUUAUAAAACUAAUCUAAACUCUAUAUGAAUGCAUGAUAUGGAAUGCGAAUUGUUCGGAUCAUAGUCUACAUGCGGUGUUGGCCUAACUCGAUCUAUCACCCGAUUAAUUGGUCAAUACGUCCAAUUCAACUUCAAAGAAUUCCAUUUCUCUCACAAUACUUCAAAUCAUCAAACACAAAUUAAAUAACUUGAAAUAUGACAAAAUCAUCCUCACAUUUUCUCUUGAAAAAUUCGGCCAUGGUGGGUGCAUCAACACUAUAAUUUUUCAAGCUUGAUUCUCACACCAUAAAUCACUAAUUCCUAACCAAAUCACUUGAAAUAAAAUCAAAAUCAUCAUCAAUAUUCUACAUGGAGAAUUCGGCCAAUGAUGGGUGAUGGGAGGAAGUGAAUUUUUCUUGUUGGCUUUUCAUACCAUAAAUCACUAACUAACUAAAAACACUAAAAUAUAUUGAAAUCUAACCAAAUCAAGCAUCAAAACCUCCAUCUAAGUGUUCUGCCAGCAUGGGAUUCAUCAUGAAAUCAUCUGAUUCAUCAUGAAAUCAUGUGAUUCAACCAUGGAAAAUAAGAAAAAAAUGCUUAAGAAAGAGAGAUCUCAACCUUAAUUGAAAAAUCUUACCUUUUUUUUUUUCACUUGUUUCCUUGAAUUUUCACACUUUUCUCUUGAAUUUUUCCACCUAGGGUUUUGUUCUUCCUUUUCUUCCUUUGUUCUUGCUUUGGUCGGC
rnacentral:lncRNA from 1 species